rnacentral:lncRNA from 1 species
AGUUUUAGAAACUUUAGGGUGUUUUCUAUCCAUAUGUAAUAAGUAUAUGCAUAUUCUAGUUACUGGGUAGGAGUGGUAACCAGAUUAAAUCGGGUAUGUUUUUUAUCCAGCCGUGUCAAUACUGCCCCCUAGCCCUAACAGGAUAAAGGAGUUCUGUGUCUAUAAUUCUUUGUGAACAUUAAUCUUUGGAGGAAGAAGGAUACCUUGACCUGUCGAAUUCUAUCAACCUCUUCUGUGUGGAAUAUGUGUUCCUACCUCGUCUGCAGGCAGAUCUGCAGAAUUUCACAGUUAUUUCAGCUGUGUCGGUGAACCCCUCCCUCCAGCAUCUGAACUGGCUGACACAGAGGGCACAGCAUGAUCAUAGGUAUGUUUUGAUGUGAGAGAGGAAGCCAGUCCCAUUAUCGCCACCUCACCCGCUCUUAAGAUAACCUUCGGGCCAACUGGGGGCCCAAAGCUGGUUAAGAGACACUGCAAUUGUGAUGAACUGAGAGAAUAUUAGGGUAGCACUGUAAUUCAUUAAUCAUAUACUUUCUGCCUCUGUUCUUACCCCUUUCCCUUCCUGUCUUCUACACCUCUCUCCCCAACUCUUCUAUCUUCCUUGUUUUAUAAUGCACACCAUAUGUGCAUUGAAGUACAGAUUUAACUUCUAUUUAUAAUAUUACAAUUAUCAUAAUUAUAAUGCAUGUAUUAUGUAUUUAUAACACCUGGAUAAUGGACUUCUUUCAAAAAAGCAUUUAACAUUCUCCACUGGUUGAAAUUAAGUAUCUCAUUGAAAUACUAUCCUGUCUCCUCAGAUUAAUGUAGAUGGAGUUAGAUAUGCAUACUUUUGUUAAGUAUAUAAUUGUAGAACAUACAUGCAGACACAGCAUCAUUCAAAGAAUGGAGUUUGAUACACCUGGUAUUGGAAAUGACUGAAAAAGAAUCUCACAAAAAUUCAUACCUGAACCACACCUUUAUUUGCCAAAGAAGAGUACAUGGUCAGUGAAUAUAUUCAAUGUGCAGGCUACAAUGUGGGGGAUCUCAUGCGUGGUAAUAACUACAGUACAUGUAUAUAGGACUUGUAUCCUUGGCACAAUAAAGUUAUUAUAUUCUACUCAAUCCAUUAAUGCCAUUCAGACUUGAAGUUGAUACGACAACUAUGAUAGCUGAGGUUCAUAGAUUGGUAUGAAUAUUAGUUCAGAACAUUUUAGGGUCCAUACACAGAUCGGCAACAUACUGUAGCUAGCUACACAUACAUAGGCAUACAGUUAUUUUUAUCCUCCACUACACAAUAAGCAAGUAAAUAGUUAGCUAGC